rnacentral:misc_RNA from 1 species
CUGCGUGCGUCGGAGCGGUUGCUCGCCAUUUUGCGAGAGCGACGAGAGGGAGGCAACGAGAAGAAGAGAGCGAUGGGAGAGGAGGGAGGUUGGCGGCUUGGAAAAGGGAGCAAGGAGAAGGGGAGGAAGGAGGGGAGAAACAGAGGAGAGAGAUGGUCGUUUGCCUCCUCUUUGCAGCUGCUGGCCGGGCGCAGGGGUUCUCGCUGGCGACUGCUGCUGACUCCUAGCCGGUCACGGCUGCUGAUGCUGCUCGACAUGGCUACUGGUUGUUUCUUGUCGCCUGGAAGCUCGCCGGUGGAGCUGCUCGCUGCCAGAGAAAAGAGAGAAGGGAGGAGAAGAGGGAGGAGGAGGAGCGACGGG